rnacentral:rRNA from 1 species
CACGUAGGGGCCAAGCGUUGUCCGGAUUUAUUGGGCGUAAAGAGCUCGUAGGCGGCUCGGUAAGUCGGGUGUGAAACCUCCAGGCUCAACCUGGAGACGCCACCUGAUACUGCUGUGGCUAGAGUCCGGUAGGGGAGCGUGGAAUUCCUGGUGUAGCGGUGAAAUGCGCAGAUAUCAGGAGGAACACCAGCGGCGAAGGCGGCGCUCUGGGCCGGAACUGACGCUGAGGAGCGAAAGCGUGGGUAGCAAACAGG